rnacentral:rRNA from 1 species
AGUGAACGCUGGCGGUAGGCCUAACACAUGCAAGUCGAACGGCAGCACAGUAAGAGCUUGCUCUUACGGGUGGCGAGUGGCGGACGGGUGAGGAAUACAUCGGAAUCUACUUUUUCGUGGGGGAUAACGUAGGGAAACUUACGCUAAUACCGCAUACGACCUACGGGUGAAAGCAGGGGAUCUUCGGACCUUGCGCGAUUGAAUGAGCCGAUGUCGGAUUAGCUAGUUGGCGGGGUAAAGGCCCACCAAGGCGAGGAUCCGUAGCUGGUCUGAGAGGAUGAGAACCCACCUGGGAACUGAGACACGCCCGACACCCCUGGGGAGGCCGCCAGGGGGGAAUUUGGGACAGGGGGCGCAAGCUGUACCCACCAAUCGCGGGGGGGAGAAAAAGGCCUCGGGUUUGUAAAGCCUUUUUUUGGGAAAAAAAAAGCAGCCGUUAAACACCCCCCUGUCCGGACGUUACCCAAAAAAAAAGCACCGGCUACCUCCGUG